CACGAAGAUGAAACGGCACUGGGCUCCGACGGUUGUUUGACAAUAGCCGGUCAUGACGGAGACGCCCUUUUGCGGCAGGCCUAGAAAACCUCGCCCACUGAGA
rnacentral:snoRNA from 1 species